rnacentral:lncRNA from 1 species
CUUGCAAGGUUCCUGUGAUGUGGGUAGUGUAGAAGAAGAAACUUUUCCCUGCAUCCUCUUAGGUUCUGUACAUGGAGGCCUACAAAUUAGAUUGACAAAAAACAAAUUAACAGGAGAAAAAGAUGUAUUACAUACGCAUAUGGGAACUUCACAGAAAAAGGAAUGAAAGCACAAAGAUGCAAAUAUUCCCCAGGGUUUAUAUAUCAUUUAAUAAGUCCUGGAGAAGGUGGUUUUGGACUUCCAGGUGCAGGGGGAAGUAGGUUUGGGGAAGAUGACUAGGAAAUGUGUGGUGUAUAAGAGUUGUUUUGUAAGAUUUGUUAUGAAGAAGCUGGGUGCAGUGACUCAUGCCUGUAAUCCCAGCACUUUGGGAGGCCGAGGCGGGCUGAUCACUUGAGGUCAGGACUUCGAGACCAGCCUGGCCAACAUGGUGAAACCCCUUCUCUACUAAAAAUACAAAAAUUAGCCUGGCGUGGUGGCACACAACUAUAGUCCUAGCUACUCAGGAGGCUGAGGCAGGAGAAUCACUUGAACUGGGGAGGCGGAGGUAGCUGUGAGCCAAGACUGCACCACUGCACCCCAGCCUGGGCGACAGAGCAAGACUGUCUCAAAAAAAAAAAAAAAAAAAAAAAGAUUUCAUAUGAAAAGUCAUCUCAGAUGGGUCUUUUGUCACCCAGGCCAGAGUGCAGUGGCUCCAUCUCAGCUCAUUACAGCCUUGACCUCCCAGGCUCAAGUGAUCCUCCUACCUGAACCUCCAGAAUAGCUGAGACUACAGGUGCACACCAUCAUACCUGGCUAAUUUAAUUUUUUUUUUUUUUUUUGAGAUAAGAGUUCUGCCACUUUGCUCAUGCUGGUCUCAGACUCUUUUUUUUUUUUUUUUUUCCUGAGACCGAGUCUUGCUCUGUCACCCAGGCUGGAGUACAGGGGCAUGAUCUUGGCUCACUGCAACCUCCAUCUUCUGGGUUCAAGCCAUUCUCCUGCCUCAGCAUCCCCAGUAGCUGGGGUUACAGGCACGUGCCACCAUGCCCAGCUAAUUUUAGUAUUUUAGUAGAGAUGGGGUUUCACCAUGUUGGCCAGGCUGGUCUCAAACUCCUGACCUCAAGUGAUCCACUCAUCUUGGCCUCCCAAAGUGCUAGGAUUACAGGCAUGAGCUACCACACCCAGCCAGGUCUCAAACUCAAGCUCAAGUGAUCUUCCUGCCUUGGCCUCAAAGGUACUGGGAUUACAGUUACUCGCUGGAAGUGGUGGGAAUCAUAAAAAACAACCAGGACCUUGCAUCCUAGUAUAGAAGCCACAACUGUGGAAGCUUAACAGCCAGGCAAAUGCCCACAAACCACCACCCUCUGCAUUGGAUGCAUAUGUCCCUGACCUCGCAAGUGAAAAAGAGAGGAAGACGGCGACACCUCCAGGCUUCAGACUCAUUAAUCCUGUGAAUCGUGACCCACUCUUAAAACCAAGGAAGAGGGAAGUUUGGACACAGACACACACAGACAAGAGAAUACCAUGUGACAAAGGCAGAGAUUGGAAUGAUACAGCUGCAAGCCAGGGAUGCCAAGGAUUGCAGGAUGGAGUGCAGUGUCAUGAUCAUAGCUCACUGCAGCCUCGAUCUCCUGGACUCAAAGCAUCUUCCCACCCCAGCCUCCCAGGAAUCUGGGACUACAGGUGUGAACCACUGUGCCGGCUCUGUUGAUUUAAGCCACCGAGUUUGUGGAACUUUGUUAUGGCAGUUCUAGAAAAUGAAUAUAAUAAUUAAAAUGAAAGUUUUGCUAACUGCUACCUUUACCUUUACCAUGUGCAAUUUUAUUUUAUUCUUUUUUUAAGCUUCUUAUAACUCAGUUCACUGGUUUCAUAAUCUACUAAUGGGUUGUAAUCCAAAGUGUGAAUAAUAUACCAGAAAUACCCUUGAAAGUUCUUUCCAAACUUGAGAGUUUGUGAUUCUAUGGGACCUAAGUGGGGCACAGAUCAGAAGAAUCAAAACACAAAAAAGGCUGCGCGCAGUGGCUCAUGCCUAUAAUCCCAGCACUUCAGGAGGCCAAGGUGGGCAGAUCACUUGAAGUCAGGAGUUCAAGACCAGCCUGGCCAACGUGGUGAAACCCCAUCUCUACUGAAAAAACAAAAAUUAGCCAGGCAUGGUGGCGCAUGCCUGUAAUCCCAGCUACUAGGGAGGCUGAGGCAGGAGAAUCUCUUGAACCCAGAAGGCAGAGGUUGCAGUGAGCCAAGAUUGCGCCACUGCAUUCCACUCCAGCCUGGGCAACAGAGCGAUACUCUGUCUUUAAAAAAAAAAAAAAAAACCCAAAAAAACACCUAGUUUUGUACCCUACUCAGCAUAGUCCAUCUUCACCCUAUAAUCUCUUAUAGUUUCUGGAAAAAGACAGAAAUAUUUUAAUAUUAGACAACACAAAGCAAUAGCAUUAAUAAAAAGUUGUUUAUUAAAGAAUUUGGCUAUUGCUGGCCGGGCGCGGUGGCUCACGCCUGUAAUCCCAGCACUUUGGAAGGCCAAGGCAGGCGGAUCACAAGGUCAGGAGAUUGAGACCAUCCUGGCUAAUAUGGUGAAACCCAGUCUCUA